UGCAUCGGCCGGGAAUCGAACCCGGGGCGCCCGCCACUAUAAUAUAUAAAUGAGUUUUAAAAAUUGUAAAAAAAAAUGCAUCGGCCGGGAAUCGAACAUUCUACUACUGAACCAAAC